ensembl:lncRNA
UGGAGGUGGGGAGGCUUCAGGAUGCAGGAAUGGGCUGUGAUUGUUCUCAGAGCUCAGGAAUUCAGGUGACUGAGGGUCUUCUGCAGACAGGAGUCAGAUCCAUCAGUCCUGAUUAGUGCAAAUUUUCCUGAAGCUUUUGACACCAGCCCUCUCACCAGACCCUAUGCAGAGUUGUGGUUUUCCAGGAAGCAUUAGGGGCCAAGAGCACAGAGCUGUGGCAUGAAGGGAUCCAGGAAAAGGUGGAAGAAACAGCCAGGCAAGAAAGUACAAGUUCAUGUCAGCACUCCAGCGCCCUGCUCACUCCUGCUCAAGUGAGCUGACCUGCUACUGCCAGAAUGUUGCCUGGCUCCCUGAGUCACACAGAACAUCUGAAGAGGCAGUGUGGCAAAGGAAGUACAGAGCUGAGUUGAGGGCAGGACAGGCCUCGGAGUUUGGAUUUCAACUCUUCACCCCCAUGUAGACAAGUUAUUUUAGGUUGUUGUAAUAAUGGAAAGCUGACCAACAGAGGAUCAAACAAGUUCCGCUGCGAUGUUUUAGGACCUCAGCUGAGCACUCUUUCCUCUGCCUGAGGAGACCCAGCCUGGCCUCAGCAUGGCUUGUUAUCAUGCUGUUUUUUAUCAACUUAGCACCUGAGCGGCAUGGACACAGCCUUCUUUGAGGCUGUUGCCUUCAUUUCCCCUGAUUAAAAUUAUGUUGGUUAGAG